rnacentral:rRNA from 1 species
GAUGAACGCUGGCGGCGUGCCUAACACAUGCAAGUCGAACGGGAACUCUGAGAUGAGACUUCGGUGGAUUCUUAGAAAUUCUAGUGGCGGACGGGUGAGUAACGCGUGGGUAACCUGCCCUUAAGAGGGGAAUAACAUCGAGAAAUCGGUGCUAAUACACCAUAUGCUUACAGGAUCGCAUGAUCCAGUGAGGAAAGGAAUUUCGCUUAAGGAUGGACCCGCGUUUGAUUAGCCAGUUGGCAGGGUAACGGCCUACCAAAGCAACGAUCAAUAGCCGGCCUGAGAGGGUGAACGGCCACAUUGGAACUGAGACACGGUCCAAACUCC